rnacentral:rRNA from 1 species
GUGCCAGCAGCCGCGGUAAUACGUAGGUGGCAAGCGUUGUCCGGAUUUAUUGGGCGUAAAGCGAGCGCAGGCGGUUUCUUAAGUCUGAUGUGAAAGCCCCCGGCUCAACCGGGGAGGGUCAUUGGAAACUGGGAGACUUGAGUGCAGAAGAGGAGAGUGGAAUUCCAUGUGUAGCGGUGAAAUGCGUAGAUAUAUGGAGGAACACCAGUGGCGAAGGCGGCUCUCUGGUCUGUAACUGACGCUGAGGAGCGAAAGCGUGGGGAGCGAACAGGAUUAGAAACCCCCGUAGUCCAUUAGAUACCCGGGUAGUCC